AGUGAACGCUGGCGGUAGGCCUAACACAUGCAAGUCGAACGGCAGCACAGUAAGAGCUUGCUCUUACGGGUGGCGAGUGACGGACGGGUGAGGAAUACAUCGGAAUCUACUUUUUCGUGGGGGAUAACGUAGGGAAACUUACGCUAAUACCGCAUACGACCUACGGGUGAAAGCAGGGGAUCUUCGGACCUUGCGCGAUUGAAUGAGCCGAUGUCGGAUUAGCUAGUUGGCGGGGUAAAGGCCCACCAAGGCGACGAUCCGUAGCUGGUCUGAGAGGAUGAUCAGCCACACUGGAACUGAGACACGGUCCAGACUCCUACGGGAGGCAGCAGUGGGGAAUAUUGGACAAUGGGCGCAAGCCUGAUCCAGCCAUACCGCGUGGGUGAAGAAGGCCUUCGGGUUGUAAAGCCCUUUUGUUGGGAAAGAAAAGCAGCAGGUUAAUACCCCGCUGUUCUGACGGUACCCAAAGAAUAAGCACCGGCUAACUUCGUA
rnacentral:rRNA from 1 species